rnacentral:rRNA from 1 species
CCUACGGGAGGCAGCAGUGGGGAAUAUUGGGCAAUGGAGGAAACUCUGACCCAGCGACGCCGCGUGCGGGAUGAAGGCCUUCGGGUUGUAAACCGCUUUCAGUAGGGAAGAAGCGAAAGUGACGGUACCUACAAAAGAAGCACCGGCUAACUAUGUGCCAGCAGCCGCGGUAAUACAUAGGGUGCAAGCGUUGUCCGGAAUUAUUGGGCGUAAAGAGCUCGUAGGUCGUUUGUUACGUCGGAUGUGAAAACCUGAGGCUCAACCUCAGGCCUGCAUUCGAUACGGGCAAACUAGAGUUUGGUAGGGGAGACUGGAAUUCCUGGUGUAGCGGUGGAAUGCGCAGAUAUCAGGAGGAACACCAAUGGCGAAGGCAGGUCUCUGGGCCAAUACUGACACUGAGGAGCGAAAGUCUGGGGAGCGAACAGGAUUAGAUACCCUGGUAGUCCAGACCGUAAACGGUGGGCACUAGUUGUGGGAACCUUCCACGGUUUCUGCGACGCAGCUAACGCAUUAAGUGCCCCGCCUGGGGAGUACGAUCGCAAGNUUAAAACUCAAAGANAUGCGNGNGAGAGNGACGACGACGACGACGAGGAGAG